CGGCAAACUUCAUCUUUAUUGUGUUGAACAACAAAAUAAACAGUUUUUCAUUCUUUAAUUAUUAUAUAUAAUAAUGAAAGCAACAACUUAUGUGGAAAGCUUUGAGUGCACCAAUGGUAGAUUCGUCAAUAUGGAAAUGAAUCACUUCCAAGAAGGAAUAGAAAUCAAAUUAAUAAAAACAUGGAGUCAGAACAUCACAUUAAAAAUAUCAUUAAUAACUAUUAAUAUUAUUUUGUUACUCUUUGCAAUCAAAUUUGCAAUACUUUUAAGUACAAUUCCAAUAUUCUUUAUCAUUAUUUUAACAUAUAACCUCACAUGUGGACUGAGUGAAGAAAGUAUCUUGGUAUUAAAAAAUAUUGGUGUUCAGAUCCAAAUAAAGUCUUUAUUAAGUAAUCAAAGCACAUUCAUCCCGUGGGAAUCAAUUAAUGGAAUUUUUAUUAAUGAAGUAAUUUCACAGCAACGUAUCCUGUAUGUGUUGACCCUAUCUAUAAAUAAUAAUGAAGUCAAGUUAUUUCCAUUGUUAACUAAUAUAAUGCCCAGAUUAAAUGCCCUCGAAAAUAUCUACAGAGUAUUACACAAGACAUUAAGUAAAAACUGAUGAUUUUCAG